GAAUAAGAUAAAGAAAACCCUUUUUUGCCUUUUUCGUCAACUCAAUUUAAUGCUUUUAGGGCAAAACUAUCUACUCUACACUGAUUGUCUAUCUUUGUGUUUGUUUGGAGACCCAGCAUUUUUGUGAUGUCUUAUUCAUACUGGUUGAGAAGUCUAUGAUAAAAUCUAAUUUAACUGAGAAAUGUAGGUUUUAGGUUGUUUAUUUGAUUGUGUAUGCUUUUAUCAUAUUGCGGAUUCUGCUUGUUAUUGCUUACAGGGCAGCUAAAGAGAAGCUGAGAGCAAAGGCACUACUAAAAAGCAAUAACUACCCAACCCGCGGCCCAACGACAGUAAAAAUGCUCUUGGCAGAGAGAGAAGUUAGCACAGACUGAGAAAGGGGAUUUAUUUUAAUAUCUUUUAACAUAGUUACGAUAAAGUUGUGGUAAUUUCAACGAAGGAUUCCAAAUCUAAGAUCUGGUGCAUCAGAAAAAUGCAAGAAUAAAGAGUAAUAACACGAA